CUUGAAUGAACAGUUUGGUGUCUAUUGGUGCUUCCUCACUUCCGCCUUGAGACAUGUUGCAAAAAAAAUGAAAAGAACCUCACCACUCCCUCACAUGUUUCACUCAAAUAUAUUUCACUCAAUCACUCAUGUUUGCACGCAAUGAUUUGGCUUUUUUCCUCUAAUGAUCUCACACUCUUGCCUUUUACCACUCGAUUUUCUCUUCAAAGUUCUUGAGAAAACUAAGGUAAAUUUCAAAGCAAAGCAAAUGA
rnacentral:lncRNA from 1 species